rnacentral:rRNA from 1 species
UACGUUUGGAGCAAGCGUUAUCCGGAUUUACUGGGUGUAAAGGGUGCGUAGGCGGCACAGCAAGUCAGAUGUGAAAGACCGGGGCUCAACCCCGGGGCUGCAUUUGAAACUGCCGAGCUUGAGUCCGGGAGAGGCAGGCGGAAUUCCUAGUGUAGCGGUGAAAUGCGUAGAUAUUAGGAGGAACACCAGUGGCGAAGGCGGCCUGCUGGACCGGAACUGACGCUGAGGCACGAAAGCGUGGGGAGCAAACAGG